GUAGAUCUCAGUUCCAGACGGGUGGUCCCCAUACCGGUGGUUACUGCCUGUUCUGAACAGCCAGCCGGUUUCCUUUGAUGAUCUUCACCGGUUGUCUUGGGUGACCGACAAGUUUACUUUGAAAAAAUUAGAGUGCUCAAAGCAGGCGUGCCGCCUGAAUAAUGGUGCAUAGAAUAAUGGAAUAGGACCUCGGUUCUAUUUUAUUGGUUUUCAGAAUACGAGUUAAUGAUUAAGAGGGACAGACGGGGGCAUUCGUAUUGCGACGCUAGAGGAGAAAUUCUUGGACCGUCGCAAGUGGUGUUCCUCAAGGAUAAACAAACAACCAUGAUAUACCUAGAUAU
rnacentral:ncRNA from 1 species